rnacentral:rRNA from 1 species
CCCUUAGAUGUUCUGGGCCGCACGCGCGCUACACUGAUGCAUUCAACAAGCCUAGCCUUGACCGAGAGGUCCGGGUAAUCUUUGAAACUGCAUCGUGAUGGGGCUAGAUUAUUGCAAUUAUUAAUCUUCAACGAGGAAUGCCUAGUAAGCGUGAUUCAUCAGCUCGCGUCGAUUACGUCCCUGCCCUUUGUACACACCGCCCGUCGCUACUACCGAUCGGAUGGUUUAGUGAGACCCUCGGACUGGUCCCGUCGAAGCAGGCGACUGCCUCGACGCGCGCGCCGGGAAGAAGGUCGAACUUGACUAUCUAGAGGAAGUAAAAGUCGUAACA